CUUGGUCUGUUUCAGCUCUGCAACGCUGGGUAGGGACGGAGGUGACGGGACUGAAGAGGUGCGAGAGGAGGGGAUGUCCCUGCGGCAUAGAGGCGGGCCUGAGGUUCGGCGACGCCGCUCGGGGUGCCCAGCUUCAGGCCCGGCAGAGGGACCGCCGUGUCCGCGUCCCGCCUCCUCUCCCGCCGCUACCGGCCCCGCCCCGCCCACAGAGUCCGAUGGCUGCGGCGGCGCUGAGGGACCCGCCUGAGGUCCCUGGCAGCAUUGUCUUCAGCUAACACACCAGGGACGACGUGUGUGUUCUUCCUGGGGUCUCUUGACUCUUCCCCACAGACCGAUGGAUUUAUUUCUGGGAUCACCUUUCAAUUCCAUUCAUCUCAGUAUAUAUCCUCAUGCCAGUUUCACCGUGUUUCACUUCCCAGGGGCUGUGUUCAGAACAUUUGAAAGUGGUUUUCAAACCAACUGCGUGAAUGCUUGGAGGCCUGCCAGGUGGUCUGCAGGUGUUAGACUCUUUUGGCUUUGGCCCAUGGUGCCCAAUGGUGUCUCCAGGGAUCAUUAUCUGCAUUUCAUCAGCAAGAAAGGAGAGUUGCUGUUGUUCCUCAUCCUCCGGUGAUGGGUAUCGUCAUUUCGGGAGGUUAGCAGGACUCAGAGAUUUAAAAGCUCAAAGCUUAUAUAAAAGGAAAAAUGCCGAAGAGAAGCUAGAAAAAGAGAUGUCACAAUGUAUGACAAAGGCACUAUUAAAAAAUCAAUAUGGGGACUUCCCUGGUGGCACAGUGGUUAAGAAUCCACCUGCCAAUGCAGGGGACACGGGUUCAAGCCCUGGUCCAGGAAGAUCGCACAUGCCGCGGAGCAACUAAGCCCAUGCACCACAACUACUGAGCCUGUGCUCUAGAGCCCGCGAGCCACAACUACUGAGCCCACGUGCCACAACUAUGGAAGCCUGCACGCCUAGAGCCCAUGCAUUGCAACGAAGAGUAGCACCUGCUUGCUGCAACUAGAGAAAGCCUGCACGCACCAAGACCCAACGCAACCAAAAAUUAAAAAAUUAAAAAAUCAUAUGUUCCUCUAUUAAAAAAAAAAUCAAUAUGGAAUCUGGGGAAGAAGAUUGAUUAAAAUGAGGCGUGUUCAAAGAAACAGACUGAUGCAGGGGGAGACAGAAGAGACCACAUGUAAAAGAGACACCGACAACACCCAAAGGGUGAAAAGAACAUAGCAAAUACUGAAGUGAGCCAGUCAUCAUUGUUGUCACCACUCUACCUGCUGUUCAUUCAGGCUCUGGGCUUUAGAAUAAACUGCUGCUCUCAUUGGUGUGUUUGAAGUACUAAUUGACCUAACAACAGUCCUUCAGUUGUUUCUUAAAUCAUUAGAGACUUGGCUAUAAAUAGGACAGUCACAGGACUCCUGGGGAGAAAUUAUUCUCUAAACACAGCGUGAGUCAUGAUUUCCUCAAGUUGCCAAGUUACCCACAAAGCUCAGGGCAAGACUCAGUUCAUGGACUGGAGACUCUAUCCUUUCUGAGACAGGCAAUGCCUGUCAGCCAAUACAGGGGAUAUGGGUUCGAGCCCUGGUCCGGGAAGAUCCCACAUACCACGGAGCAACUAAGCCUGUGCACCACAACUGCUAAGCCUGUGCUCUAGAACCCGCGAGCCACAACUACCGAGCCCACGUGCUUCAACUACUGAAACCCACACACCUAGGUCCCAUGCUUCGCAACAAGGGAAACCACCUUAAUGAGAGGCCUGUGCACCACCAUGAAGAGUAGCCCCCACUCGCCACAACUAAGAAGAAAGCCCACGUGCAGCAACGAAGACCCAACACAGCCAAAAAUAAAUAAAUAAAUUUAUUUUAAAAAAUAGUAAAAUAAAAAUGCUCCUUAAAAGCCACUACAUACAUAUUAUCAUCCACAGUUUGACUAACACCAAGGUUUUAACCUUAUGUGCUUCAUAAGAUUUAAAUACAAAAGAGUAAACUUCUAUCGAGUGACAACUUGGAUAUAUUUAUAUACAC